GAUGAAGAACGUAGCGAAAUGCGAUAAGUAAUGUGAAUUGCAGAAUUCCGUGAAUCAUCGAAUCUUUGAACGCACAUUGCGCCCCCUGGUAUUCCGGGGGGCAUGCCUGUCCGAGCGUCAUUGCAACCAUCAAGCACGGCUUGUGUGUUGGGCCUCCGUCCUCCUCCCGGGGGACGGGCCCGAAAGGCAGCGGCGGCACCGCGUCCGGUCCUCGAGCGUAUGGGGCUUCGUCACCCGCUCUGGUAGGCCCGGCCGGCGCUUGCCGACACAUCAAUCUUUUUUCCAGGUUGACCUCGGAUCAGGUAGGGAUACCCGCUGAACUUAAGCAUAUCAAUAAGCGGAGGA
rnacentral:misc_RNA from 1 species